rnacentral:rRNA from 1 species
AUUGAACGCUGGCGGCAUGCUUUACACAUGCAAGUCGAACGGCAGCACGGUGCUUGCACCUGGUGGCGAGUGGCGAACGGGUGAGUAAUACAUCGGAACGUACCUUAUCGUGGGGGAUAACGCAGCGAAAGCUGUGCUAAUACCGCAUACGCCCUGAGGGGGAAANCGGGGGAUCGCAAGACCUCGCGCGAUUGGAGCGGCCGAUAUCAGAUUAGGUAGUUGGUGAGGUAAAGGCUCACCAAGCCAACGAUCUGUAGCUGGUCUGAGAGGACGACCAGCCACACUGGAACUGAGACACGGUCCAGACUCCUACGGGAGGCAGCAGUGGGGAAUUUUGGACAAUGGACGCAAGUCUGAUCCAGCCAUUCCGCGUGCAGGAUGAAGGCCCUCGGGUUGUAAACUGCUUUUGUACGGAACGAAAAGGUUUCCAUUAAUACUGGGAGCUCAUGACGGUACCGUAAGAAUAAGCACCGGCUAACUACGUG